GGCCCUUCCACAUCUCUCUCUUUGUCGGGAAUCUACGGCAUGCACAUGAGACAACUUUUGUACUUGGACAGUAAAACAAUUGUUCAAUAUAGUUGGCAGAAGACUGACAGUCAGUCACAGUUGAAGCAAAGUAAUGAGGCACUGCAGCAGGCAGAGGGCUUGAGAGUCAACCAAAUGCCAGAGAAGAGAAAAUUACUCAAAGCAGAAAUAUAGAGCCUUGCAAGCCAACUCACAGCAGAACAUUGCUUUUGUUCGGGACUAAAGGCCCACUUGUCUGCCCCUGUAACUGUGGAGUUUGUGGACUUCUUGUCCUCCUGCAUUUUUAGAAAUUCAGCCAGAGAGACCGAGUUUCUCUCAUUGUCAUCAGUUUCAACAACCGUCACUUCACCAACCGUGGCACCUAUAUGUACCUUCCCACUAGCUUGUGCCCACUCCAUUGUUGAGUUUGACACCCACCACUUUGAACCCUGUGCCCAUAACUUCCUACGUCUCUGUACUCACCACUUCGUCCACUCCAGUAGCUGCUCCUAAGAUGGAACACCCAAGUGAUGUCAAGAUGGUUGACAUGGGUGGAGUCUCCUUUAAGAAGGUUAUGCGGGACUCCUGCCUAUCUGCUGCUAAGGGGUCACCCGCGGAGCUGAAUUAAAACUUCCUGCAGGCCUUCUUCACAGAAGAUGUACUGGCAAGUAGCUCUGGGGUGGGGAACAGGGGACGUCAAGGUCUACCUGCUCAUGUCAUUAAGGCGAUCACAGGAUGAUAACCCGGGGAGAAAACAAAUCCCCACACUAUAAAAGGGAAAUCAGGGAAACAUAAAAGAUACUACAGGGGAACAUGGCUAACACCAAAGGGGAAGCGACAAAAGAAGACAGUGCCUGUAGAAUUUGAAGGAAGGUCAAUCAACGUUGUUUUGGAGGGAGGACAAACUUUGGUUGGGUUGGUUGGAGAGUAAAAUUUGUGAUGGGGAAUACUUGGUCAAUUCUUUGAAACUGGAAGACGGGGAUGGGUGUAAAUAUGUUGUGAACGAUGAUCGUCAUCCAGUUACCAUCACUAGUGAUCUGGAAAGGGGGACAUGAGUCAUGUGGAAUAGUGUCCCAGGUGAGUUUUUAGAGUUAAGACCAGCGGUGUUUCUUUGCCGGGAGGGGGGUAAGUUGUGGGUGAAGCCAAAUGGGGUGCACGCUUUGAGUGCAAAAGACGAGGAAAUUUGAUUGUGCCCCUAUGAGGUUGAUAUGGAUGAUCUGGGAGAGAACAUGUGUAGUGUUGCACAAGGGGAUAUUAAUGAUGGAAAGUGCCCUAAAAGAAACACAGCUGGUGUUCGACUCCACAAAAGCACAACUUCUCAAAACAAAUCUUGAAAAACGUGCUAUGGGUGAGAAGAGACUUUCAACUUUGGACUCACUCUUUGAGAAAUUUUUGUGCACCAUUUCAGAAUUGAAAAUCAAACUUUUUCUACAUGAUAAAAUUAAGGUUGAACAUUCUGCCCGUGUCAGAGGUCUUCUGGAGUUCAUUGCCUGCCAGAAUGACUCUCUGAAUACCUUUCAACACCAACUCUUGCCAGUAACCAUGAUAUUAUUACAUUAAGGUCUACUGUAAAUAAAAUGGACCAGAGAAGGACCAGCUCCUUCAUACCCUCAAAACAAAUGGGGAGGAGCGACGGAGGGCAGAGAAGAGGUGAGACGAGCUGGCCCAGCAGGUUGAGCACCUUCAAGAAGAGAACCAUCAGCUUGCAUCUAAGAAUGCUGCUCUUCGCACCAAGCAGAUGAUCCAGCUGGAGCAGCAUCCAAGCACUUCAGCUGGACAUCCUGUCCUCGUCGCAAGACCAGCCGGCACCAAAUCGAAACCCCAGACACUUGUGCCUAUCCGACUCCCCCCAAGCUCCCAGCUCAUCGGCAACUUCAAAGACUUUGGAAGGCAGGGUGAGGGAACUGAUGAAGAUGUGCCAGAUGAUAUCUUCGAAGGAGAGCCCAACUUCAGAGGAUAUCAUCACGACACUGGCAUCAUUCUUCUGGAAGUUCCCCUCCCUUAGCAUCCGAUGCUUGUCGCAAAGCUGACCUCUGUGCGGAAAGCAUUGUAUUCACAGAACGGACUGUCGGAGAGACGCUGGACUUGAAGGUGCUGCUGAGGUUGCCCAUGCACAAAUUCAGGCAGCUGCGCACCCUGUUGUCCAAUCAUGGCGUCAGGCUUUUUUCCAGUGACAGGCAUGUCCACAGGGAGUUAAGAGGUAACUCGCUUCAGUAGCACUUAUAACAGUCACAGGCAGUCAAAAAUAGCAUUUCCCAAGACAGAUAAUCAUUGCGACAGGUGCUGGGAUCAAUUAAAUUAACUCAAAAAGAAAAACGCAGGCAACUGGUAGUCAAAUCUAAUCAAUCAAGUAAUACCAACAGUCAUGUUUAGUGACUAUCAAGUGUUUUACUUGGUCCCUUGACUGAUGUAGAUUGAAAGGACAAGUUAUCCACAAUGGCUAUUUGCAAUGAGGUUUAAGUAAAAUUUCCAUUCUCAAAACUUUGAUUUGCAUUUUUAUCAUCAGUUUAGGUCGUCAUGAUAUAUCAGAGAAGACCACCAAGCUGGGGGAGUUGCAGAUGAACAAGACUGUUGGCUCGUCAUCUCCAACUGAUGUGGCUUACAUCCGCAUCCGAAAUCUGACAAGCCACAUUGAAAAUCUCAUCGGGAGCAACAUGGAAACGGGGGAUGUCUGGGACCUCACCAAUUUUCGGGGAGAAGUAUGGAUAAAAAUUCUAGGGGAUAGAGGGGGCCAAGCACCAAACUUGUGUGCCGGAUAUGUAACUUCAAUCAAAGUAAUUCUGCCGAUUAAACAGAUAUUCUUGUCCUCUAUAAUGCAACUGAUUCGUAUGAUAAUAUCGCCAUGAUUUUCUCUCCUUUCAAACAACAGAUUUAAAGCUUCAAAAUAAUUUACAAUUAAGGGUUCCGGGACAAAUAAUAUAUGCAUUUUUUUUAGCUGGGGAUUACAAGUUUUUAACAAAGGUUAUGGGCCAUAUGGGUUCCAAUGCAUCCUACCCAUGCCUUUGGUGUUAUGUACCCCUCUCAGCCCUUGCAACAGGUGGAGAUGCCCACUCCUCUAAAAUCAGGGAUGAGGCUGGCGAGGGCUGGAUGGACAUUCCAUCAUGGUACAAGCAAAGAGAACCUGAGGAGAUAGUCCAGGAUCUUGCCGAUAAAAAGGCAGAUCCUAGGAGGGGUGGUAACACCGAGACAAAUGGCCCAUACCACAACUCUAUCUCCAGCUAGCCUAUCUUGCCAAUCAUCCAUGAUCUAAUGCACAUAUAUAGCUCCACCCAUCUUACAUAUUAUGUUAGGUCUUGUGGUAAGGUUCUACAGAAAUAUUGAGUUUUGUGUACGGACAAAGAUCAAAGGGACCUGAGGACAACGGAUGAUAAAUUAAAUGAUAAGUGGCAGGAAUUGUCUAUUGAGGCUAAAAUGGGUGAGAGAGAGCACAGCCAAGCAGCGAAAGACUUGACAUACAGUAUGAAGAGAGGUUGUUAGUGGAAUUCCGGAAGGUGACAAGAGGACGAAGUGGUAGGUGUGAAUGUGAUCCAUGUGAUUUUUCUGCUAGUGCUGUUGCUGUAAUGGAAGGAGAGGUUGAAGGAGAUGUGGAAUGGUUUCAGUGUGAUGAGUGUGGUAAUGGGCAAGAGAAAGGAUGGUUUCAUAAAGAUUAUAUCAGAUUAAAGGGUGUUGAUAUUGGAGAAGAAAAACUCUCCAGUUUGUAAGGGGGAUGAGAAAAGUGUUAAGGAUGUUGUGUUGAAGCAGGAAAUAGUUGUAGAUAGGCUAAAAAAGAGGGUGGGACAAAUAAAAAUGGGAUGGGACAAAAGGAAGAGUGCCCUUCAGAAGAUAUAUGAUGAAGUGAAAUCUAAAAUGGGGCCCCUGGAAAAGAGACUCGGUGAAGUGCUGGAAAACGAGCUGGGGGUAAAAAAGCAGGGCUAUCAUUCACAGAGUUUUGUUGCGAUCACUGCAAAAUAAUUCUAAAUCAAUCAUAACAGUUGAUGAUAUGCGCGAUGGAUUUGAGAAGCAAGGGGCAUACAGAGAACUUUUUUCUAGGUUAAGGGACAUAUUCCACAUCACUGAAAAGGGGUUUUUAUCUUUCACAUGAGUCGACAAACUGUGUCGGGAUUUGGGCAGGUCGUUUCUGCAAGCCUCCCCCAAGGAACGGAUUCCACCCAAGUUGCACUUCCUUCUAUGCCAUGUUUCUAAAUGCGCCAAGAUGUGGAAUACAGUUGCGCUGCUCAGUGAACAAGGUCUGCAUGCACAACUCAAUGCGAACGAACGUACCUUUGGCUCUGUGAAAGAUGAACCAUCCAGAAUAAAGCUUGUUUUCAAGCACCAUGGGCAGAGAAUGCUUUACCAGUCUGACGGCCAGGUUUACGUGAGGAGAUGUGUAGUCCCGUCAUUCAAACACGGCAGGUCUUGCAUAAUGGUGUGGGGCUGUUUCAGCUCUGCUGGUGUCGGUAACCUGGUGUGAGUAGAGGAAAAUAUCAACACGGCGGUUUACAUUGAUACUCUCCGCGACCACCUGAUCCCUUCUGCCCAUAGUUUGAUCGGCCUGGAAUUCUUGUUUCAGCAGCUGCCGCAUGCUGCUAGGAUUACGCAGGAAUAUCUGGCCAACCAACCCCCAGAUUUUGUCAGAGAGAUGGGGGGCAGUUGGGAAUUCCAGCUGAUGGAAUGGCCAGCCCAGCGUCCCAACCUGAAUCCACCAGAGAAUUUGUGGGACAAAUUGGAGAGGCAGCUUCAUAAGCAAACUCGACCUCAGAAUAAGGAUGAUUUGUUCCGCAUUCUUCAGCGGAUGUAGUACGGUCUGGAUCAUCAGAUCCUGGCCAAUCUGUUGGGGUCAAUGGGCCAGCGGUGCCAAGCUGUCAUCGACCCCGCUGGGGCUUUUACACGGUACUAGCCUGCAGGACUAAUUCUUCACGUCUUCUUUGUUUACGACAGUCCAUGGGCACCGCCAUCUUGAAUUUCAACGUUCAUGCAUUGACUUUGUGCACUCGAGGAACUAGAGUUUCAGAUUAAUUGUUGCCCUGAACUAAUGAAUUGAACUUAGAAAACUUCAACUACAAGGAUUUUAAUCAAAUAUCUUCUUUGUUUUUAUGAGAAAAAGUGACAAAUCUGUCAAGUAUAUACAGUCUGUAGGUGUGCAAAUUGAUUUGCACGCCAGUGUACAUGUCAACAGAGUACACAAAGAGUCACUGGUGCCAUUCAUAUCUGUUAAAGGUUCCCCGUUAUUCAAGACCAUUAUAGUGUUUAAUAAACCUGUACUAAAUAUAAAAAGCAAGAAACACAUCGCUUUCUUGUUUGUUUCUACCGGUUCAGCUGAUUUUGACAAUUUUUUUGCGCAUUUUUGUGCCCCCCCUUUUGACCACUGUAAACGGUGAAUUAAUGAUGUAAUGCAUCACAUGGUCUAUGAUGUUGCAUAAAGAACCCGGUCAUGUAAUCCUGGGGCCACCGACCUUGCAACUGUGCUGCUUUACACGUGGAUUGACCUACGAAUUGCACAGUGUUUCCUACCAAAAACUCUUUAGAAUUCGGUUCUGAAUAGCUAAAAUGCCAACAAGAUGUGUUGUUGCAGGAUGCAGUAAUACACUGAAGGACAGUGUACAUGUACAUGUAUGCCUGCACAGAUUUCCUAACACCCGUUGUUGCGGAAAAUUUGGACUGCAAAAGUUAGCUUGAAGAGGGCAAACUGGGACGGGCCGUCCGCUACAAGUGUCAUCUGUAGUGACCAUUUCACAGCAGAAGACUACGAAAAAACAUUCCAUGGACAGUUCGGUAUAGUGAGAGCGGCACCUUGGCUAAAAGCUACAGCAUUCCCCAGCAGAAUUACUGUCCGUAAUUCAGAGGAAUUUGCAAAACCGAAGAGCCAGAGUGAUACAUUUGCAAAUCGAGAAAGGAGGAGGGUAAGUUUUUGUCAUGUCAUGCAUUAUUUGUACACGUGUUAUGUACAUGUACACAUGUGGCUAUGGACGGUACCUGUAGUGUACGUUAGAUUUGAUGUCUACGCGGACACCAAACCCAAAUUCUAUGGCUAGGCUGGUUAGGUGCAGCGGUUGCAUGUCGCAAUGUAGGCUGUAGAUGGGGUCCAUUUCCAAAAAAGUGUGCUGCUUAGAGCCUAAUAAGCUCAGGUUUUUACAGCCAAGUUAAAGAUACACAUGUACAAUUUAGCACACUUUUGGAAAGUCAAGUAAAAUGGGCGAUGUAUAUUUUGUACCCCUUAAUGUACCAUUUCAAUCUUAUCAGUACCCCUGAAAAGAGGGCUUGUUUGGACUCAUUCACCAUACAUUUUUUUACAAUAUAGGCCUACUUGAGAGUUGAAAAGCUUUUGCCAUAUGGCCAGACACCUCAAGAAAAAACAUACCCAAAUAGAGAAGCUGGUUACUGACAGACAUCGCCAGAUUGCAAAGUAUGUCAGAGAACACCUUCCAACUGUAAAUCAUGUUUGAUGUCUGGCAUGUAGCCAAAUGUAAGUAUAGGUUAAUGUUUUUUCUGGAUUCCACCUAAACACUUGUCAAAACUAGCUUCCUUGUCAAAACUCCUCUUGAGAAAUAACAGUUUAUAUCAGUCAUAAGAGUCAGACUGUCAGUCGAAAUAAAUUUUGAAAGUGCAUCUAAUGAAUAUGGCAAGGAAGCCUACAAACUACUGGCCUGGAUGGGACACCCUGAUAAAGCUUCAAAACUCUGUGCAAUCCCUACAAAUUUUGGCUUGCAUUUUACAUGACUCUUUGUCAAAGCCGUUUUUCUCAAAAGUAGUUUUGACCACAGCGACGU
rnacentral:lncRNA from 1 species